UAUUAUGGAGAGUUUGAUCCUGGCUCAGGAUGAACGCUGGCGGCGUGCCUAAUACAUGCAAGUCGAGCGAACAGACGAGGAGCUUGCUCCUCUGACGUUAGCGGCGGACGGGUGAGUAACACGUGGG
rnacentral:rRNA from 2 species